AAUGAUAACAAAAGAGAUUGAAAAAAUGUAUUAAAAUAGAAUAAUAAUUAUAAAAGCAGUCAUACAAAAAAGAUUAGAUGUGAGUUUAGUGGUUUAGUACAGAUGUCGAUCUCUAGUGUUGUUAGUUUUUUAGUGUUAAAGGAAACAGAAAGAAAAACCAGCAUGGAGGAUUAUCAUCACAUUCAGCAUGAAGAGCAGCGUCUGAAUCGGCUUCUCUCCUUUUAUUCAUCACUUCAGAGAAACAAGCCUCAGCCUGAAAUCUGACCAAGUUUAGAUCCUGACAGAAAAAUAAACCUGAGAUGACAGAAGUCUGAACUCUGUUCAAUAAUUCACUGAUCAAUUCACUACAAACUAACCAUGCGAGUGCAGCUAGUCAGCUAUUAACUAUUUAUUGAUGCACUUAUCAAUCUUGAUGUCCCAUUGAAAAGCUUUCUUAUUUCAACAUAAACACUGAGCUAACUAUAUGAGCUGGUUAGCUAUUUAAAUCUAACAACUAGUAGCUAUGUUUAGGUGCUGAAACUCAGUGAAGGAGGUUUAGCUGAAAAGCUCUUGAUCGACUCUUGAUGUCCUUCACUGCAGACGCAAAGCUAACUACGUAAGUUAGGACUAGUUAGCUAGUUAAAGCUAACCUCUUGCUGCUGAGUGCGAGGCCUGGAAGGUUUUAAAAGACUUAUUUUUAAAAGGCUAAUUUUGAUUUAGAUUUUUCUCAUCUGUUGAUGUGACUUUAAUUUUCUUUCCUUCAUUAAAAAGUGGAGUACCACAACUUCAGCUAUUUAGCUUGCUAAAGCUAACAGCUAUGUAGUUAAUUCAACUACCAUAAGAUGUUUAGCAAGCCUUUGUUAAUAUCAGAUCAGUCUUUGAUCGACUUGAGUUUCCCUUUCAAAUAUUCAGAUUUUUUUUCUAUAGAUCUAAAUAUUAAGCUAAAGAUUGUUAGCUAGUUGAAUGUAACUGCUACCAGUUCAUUUUAACUGAUGGAAGAUUGUGAAAAAAGCUUUAAUUUUGACCGCCAAUGACAGCUUGAUGGUCACAGCUAGUUAGCUAUUUACAGCUAGCAGCUACUGGCACCUGGAAGCUCUAGAUCAGGGGUCUCAAACUCCAGUCCUCGGGGGCCGCAGUCCUGCAACUUUUAAAUGUGUCUCUGCUGCAUCACCUGAAUAGAAUAAUUAGGUCAUUAAGGUUCUGGAGAACUGAUCUACACAAGGAGGAGGAAUGAAGCCGUUUCAUUCCAGUGUUUUGUACCUGUGGCUCAUCUAAAACCUGCAGGACAGCGACUGGAGGCCUGGAGUUUGAGACCUGGAAGCUCUAGAAGGAAGAUCAACUAUAAAAACAGUCUGCAGUUGUACAUCUAAUGAUUUCAAUAAAUCAAAACGUUUUUUCUGAGGUAAAGUUUGUCAUGGAAGAAGACUUAGGAAGAAAACCAAACAAAUAACGUACAGCUAUCUGAACUAUUUCCGGAUUGCAGCUUUGCCUGGAACACCAGCCAACAAUAUGAAAAACUGCGAGUAAUCUUUGUUUUUCUAACUUCAUUCACUUUAAUUCGGCUUCAAGAAGCUUUACGAACAGCCAACUAACUCAGCAUUUGCCCAAGUUAACCCGGUACUUGAGUCUGGAGUGGAGGAUUUAUGUUUUUCAGGAAUGACAAUCGUUCCUUCAGACUGUUGUUGUCUCUCUGCUGUCAAAGUCAGUACAACGAAGGGAAGCUAGUUCUGCUCUUACAUCUCCGACCUGGAGGGUAAAAUGCCCUUUUAAUUUAUUUAAAAUAAUAACUUGUAUCUGAAUGCUGUAGAUUCUCUCCUGUUUGGUGUACAAAUAGAGAAAAUACACCAUGAAACGUUGCAACAUCUGCAGGUUGGGACUGAACAAAGUUACAGAAACAGCUAAACCCCUUUAGCAACACGUCACUAACAGCCUGCGGGAGACGUUGCUGCAGCGCCGGCUGAGCAUGUUGGGAUGAAAGCAGGCGCCGCUGGACGGCGAGCCGCGCGCAGCAGUCUGAAUGGAGAGGAGGUGACAACCAUAAUAAUGGAGGAAGGUCAGAGGUCGCCCUGAGCAGGUGGCAACCACAGAAAAGCUUCAAAAACGGAGCGCUGAGUCGGCGGAAAGGAACGCGCUCCCUCAGCAGACCUCACAGAGUGACGGAAACGUUUGGCUAGUUUGUGUUUUCAGACCGUUUGCUGUCAGUCAGAAGCCGCUGUUUCUGUUUGAACGACUUCCUGAGAAAAAAGCUUCCUGUGGUCUGAAAGCUGCUGCCGGCGCCGGAGUCCGGCUUCCAUCAGCGGCUGUUUCUGUCCAUCAACUUUAGCUGCUCUGAGGUUAGCCAACUUAGCAUAAAGACUGGAUAGCGUCCAGGUUAGCCUAGCUUAGCAUAAAGUCUGGAUCACAUCCAGGUUAGCCUAGCUUAGCAUAAAGACUGGAUAGCAUCCAGGUUAGCCUAGCUUAGCAUAAAGACUUCAUAGUGUCCAGGUUAGCAUAGCUUAGCAUAAAGACUGGAAGCAGAGGGAAACUGCUAGCAUUGCUCAGAUUAAACACUUUUAACCAGUAUAAAUGAUCCCACCGUCUGAUUAUCUGUGGAGUUUUCAUAAAAAAAUAACUAUUCUCACAUUCAUUGUCUUUAAAAACUCAUUUUGUAAGAUGGAUAUCUAUAAAUCCAAACUAUCAAAUAAGAACGUUUUGAUUUUAUUUUGCCUGAACAUCUGAAUUUUAAAAAUACUAUUUCAUUUGUAACUGAGAUCAAUGAAUUAAUAAAUCAGAAUUUAAUGUUUUUCAAAGCAGAACAACCCGAGUUUUGGUGAAAUAAGAGGCUGUCAUGUAAAGCUGGGCAUAAACUCACAUUUUUGUCAAAGUAAUCAUGUGUCAUCCAUUGCGUAGCACAAUGGUGGUAAAACUUCACGACCGACUUCCCAUCAGUAAUCAGGCCUGUUUGAAAUUCUGGUCGCCCCGGUGAAGGUGUUGCCCUGUGGCAGCAGCCCUUCAGCUGAACGCUUCUCAGCAAAGCAUAUAAGCAACCUGACAUAAUAUAAUACUAUAAUACUUAAAUAUUGAUUGAAAAAAAAUUGAAAUACUGGAAAUAACAAACUUUAAACAACACAUGAAAAUAAAUAUGAAUUUAAGGUUCACUCAUCUCUCUCACGUUAGCAUUAGCAUACGUUUUCAAAUACAAAACCGCUGCAGUAAAAGCUUGCAGCUAACUCUAGUGGAGUUAAAGUUGGCGUCUCCUCGCCGUCUGUGAAGGUACUCUGUCAAAAAUUAUCAGCCAAAAUGAUUAUUCAUCCUGUCAUAAUAAAAAUAAUUGGUUCAUUUUUCAAAGUCAUAUUUUCAUCAUGUUAUUCAGAUAUAUAUUCCACAGUUGCAAACUAAAUAUUAGACUGAAGCUAAUUAUUGAGCUUACAUAUAAAUAUUCAGGUAAUAUACAGAUUCACUUGGACUAUCAAAAUAAAAGUUGUGUUUUCUGAAACCUUUAAUUAAACUCCAGCUUUCAAAUCGCUUUGAAUCACAACUUUAUCGUAAUUUCCCUCUUUUCCUGAACAACAUUGCAGCUUAAAGGAUGAGCUAAUUCAGAGCUAGCUAAACAUUAGGCUAGCUCUGACAUAAAUAUUUAACAUUGAGCUAAAUAUUUGGCUUUCUAAAUAAAUGUUUAGGUUUGAGCCAAAUAUUUACUUAGAAUAGUAAAUAUUUAGUUAGCUAGCUAAAAUGAACUGCCAUGUUUUUCUCAUAUGACCGGCUAAAUAACACAAAUUAUUGUUUUUCUUUUUCUUCUCUAGACUCAAGGCUACGACGUGUCGCUAACGCACGCACAGUGAGAUAAAAGGAUUUGCGAUGCUGACCGCUGUUUGAUCUGGACCUGAACAUACGGAGCUUUAUGUUAUCUAUAAAGUGGUUUAUGGAUUCAUGACACUUUGUUGUUCUGGUUCUGACGAAGCACCAAACCAGCUGUUCUUAGAAAUGUGGUGGAAAUCUAAAAAUCUGUUUUUUUAAAGUCUGUAGUGAAGAUAAACUCUGAGGAGGAAACUGACUUUGAGCUGCUUCCAUUCACUGCUGCUGCUAUAAAAAGGUGAUCAGAACCGAUCAGAACCGAUCAGAACCGGGUCUAAAACUGGCCUUAAAGUUGUAGAUCGGGUGUAAACCUCUUUCCAUGUUGCCAUAGAAACUUAAAAGCUGAGUUCAUGCUUGUGCUACGUAACUUUUAUCACGUGAAAGUGUUUUAAUGUGACUAUAAUUAUGUGCAGUAAAGUGUGAAUAUAA